CUGUCUUCCUGCCGCCACUGGAGUCCCUUCCUGCGAGUGAGCUGCUCGCCCUCUUCUUUCUCUGCUCUGGAUCUGCCACCACGAACUGAAGGGCCACUGGAGCUGGGGGGUCUACAGCCCUGAUUUACCAUUCCAGAGACAGAUGAGUGAACCUACUCAGGACCCCACUGGAGUUAAGGGAUCUCGUGCACUGCACUUUGCAGGAAGAGGGCCGCAACUUGCUCUCUUCCUGCCGUCACACAUUCUCAUGAUUUCUUCAUGCAAGGAUUUGGGGGAAUACACACGGCUCCUCCUUUCCACCAUCUGCCUGAGAACUUCACCUCAGCGGAGGGGAGUUGUACCUUUUCUGCCGGAACCUGAAAUUCUCAACUUUCCAGUACAAGGAUGCAUUGAUGGAGGCAAAUCCAGGGGUGCAGGUGGUGCCCCACAACGAAGCAACCUGUGGAACCCCAGACAUCGCCUGUUACAAAGAGGAAAAAGCAGGCUCUGCAAAAGAGUUACCAAGCCUGAGGAAAGGGGCCAAAAGUGAAGCAAUGGCACAGCAUAACUUUGGGAUGGCAGAGUCCAUUUAGUGGAAGACUGUUCUCUAAGUACUGGAGACCUUGAGCGUGAACGGUAUCUUCUGGAUGGGGCUGCCCUUGCCCUUGAACGGUGAUAACCAUCUGACCUUGACCUGCAACGAUUGUUACGACUCUUCCCUUCGCCUCUUCUUGGAUACGGUGGCGAUCGCGAGUGGGAACGAGAGUGGGAACGACUAAAUGAGUGA